GGCCUGGUAGCGGAUGGUCCGCACCUGCACUAGAUAUUAUCUUUACAGAGUCAGAUUCAUCUGCAGGAGCCGCCCGUUCGAUUCGGGCCCGGGCCA